rnacentral:rRNA from 1 species
UACGUAGGGUGCGAGCGUUGUCCGGAAUUAUUGGGCGUAAAGAGCUCGUAGGCGGUUUGUCGCGUCGACUGUGAAAACCUGGGGCUUAACUCUGGGCCUGCAGUCGAUACGGGCAGACUUGAGUUCGGUAGGGGAGACUGGAAUUCCUGGUGUAGCGGUGAAAUGCGCAGAUAUCAGGAGGAACACCGGUGGCGAAGGCGGGUCUCUGGACAGUUCCUGACGCUGAGGCACGAAGGUCAGGGGAGCAAACGGG